GGAAGACACCAGGGAUGCCUGGCCCAGGAUUGAUGCCAGGUUGGAUUCUUUUUCUGACUCUCGUGGCCUCAGCAUACAUUCCUUUCCCAAACUGGAAACUCCACAGCAGAAGCAUCUACUCGGCUGGAGGUAGCUUGGUGGUGAAGAGCAAGAAGUGCUCUCAGAGGCCCCAGGGUUGGCUCCCAGCAAUCCUGUCAGGUGCUUCACAACCAAUUACACAUGGAGUAAGGACAACUUGUGCAUGGCAUAGAAUCAGAGUUCAUCUGAGACACCACGCUGGAACAGGGAAUUUCUCAACUCCCGAGAAAGGAGAAGAGAUGGUAGAAGAUGAAAGAUGAAGAAAUGGCAGUAGGCACAAUGCAGUAUGCUGGCUUGGUGCCCUGAGUGCUCCAUGAUACAGAUGACUGGGAACAGCUUCAGACUGAUAUACAUUCUCCUUAGAUCCACUCAUCAGAGAUGUUUUGCAGCUUCUUCAUUUUUUCAAAAAAAGAUUUAUUUCAUAUAUGUGAGUACACUGUCACUAUCUCCAGACACACCAGAAGAGGGCAUCAGAUAACAUUACAGAUGGUUGUAAGCCACCAUGUGGUUGGCAGGAAUUGAACUCAGGAACUCUGAAAGAGCAGUCAGUGCUCUUAAUUGCUGAGCCAUCUCUCCAGCCCCUGGUUUUGCUUCUUUGAUUGAAAGAAAAACUAUUC
ensembl:antisense